rnacentral:rRNA from 1 species
AUACGGAGGGUGCGAGCGUUAAUCGGAAUUACUGGGCGUAAAGCGUACGUAGGCGGUUGGUUAAGUUAGAUGUGAAAGCCCCGGGCUUAACCUGGGAACUGCAUUUAAAACUGACGAACUAGAGUUGAGUAGAGGGGAGUGGAAUUUCAGGUGUAGCGGUGAAAUGCGUAGAGAUCUGAAGGAACACCAGUGGCGAAGGCGACUCCCUGGACUCGAACUGACGCUGAGGUACGAAAGCGUGGGUAGCAAACGGGAUUAGAAACCCCGGUAGUCC